rnacentral:rRNA from 1 species
CGUCUGGAAAGGCGCGCGAUACAGGGUGACAGCCCGUACACAAAAAUGCACAUGCUGUGAGCUCGAUGAGUAGGGCGGGACACGUGGUAUCCUGUCUGAAUAUGGGGGGACCAUCCUCCAAGGCUAAAUACUCCUGACUGACCGAUAGUGAACCAGUACCGUGAGGGAAAGGCGAAAAAGAACCCCGGCGAGGGGAGUGAAAAAAGAACCUGAAACCGUGUACGUACAAGCAGUGGGAGCACGCUUAGGCGUGUGACUGCGUACCUUUUGUAUAAUGGGUCAGCGACUUAUAUUCUGUAGCAAGGUUAACCGAAUAGGGGAGCCGAAGGGAAACCGAGUCUUAACUGGGCGUUAAGUUGCAGGGUAUAGACCCGAAACCCGGUGAUCUAGCCAUGGGCAGGUUGAAGGUUGGGUAACACUAACUGGAGGACCGAACCGACUAAUGUUGAAAAAUUAGCGGAUGACUUGUGGCUGGGGGUGAAAGGCCAAUCAAACCGGGAGAUAGCUGGUUCUCCCCGAAAGCUAUUUAGGUAGCGCCUCGUGAAUUCAUCUCCGGGGGUAGAGCACUGUUUCGGCAAGGGGGUCAUCCCGACUUACCAACCCGAUGCAAACUGCGAAUACCGGAGAAUG